rnacentral:rRNA from 1 species
UACGGAGGAUGCGGGCGUUAUCCGGAUUUAUUGGGUUUAAAGGGUGCGUAGGCGGGAUGCCAAGUCAGCGGUAAAAAUGCGGUGCUCAACGCCGUCGAGCCGUUGAAGCUGGCGUUCUUGAGUGGGCGAGAAGUAUGCGGAAUGCGUGGUGUAGCGGUGAAAUGCAUAGAUAUCACGCAGAACUCCGAUUGCGAAGGCAGCAUACCGGCGCCCUACUGACGCUGAGGCACGAAAGCGUGGGUAUCGAACAGG